GAUGAACGCUGGCGGCGUGCUUAACACAUGCAAGUCGAGCGAAGAGAUGAGGAGCUUGCUCCUCGGACGAGAGGGGAGGGCGUGAGAGUAACACGUGGAUAACCCACCUGUAUGACUGGGAUAAUUUCGGGAAACCGGAGAUAAUACCGGAUGAUAUUUUGAACCACAUGGAUCGUUAGGGAAGGUCGGCUGUGCUGUAACUUAUAGAUGGAUCCGCGCCGCAUUAGCUAGUUGGUAAGGUAACGGCUUACCAAGGCGACGAGGCGUGGCCGACCUGAGAGGGUGGUCGGCCACACGGGAGCUGAGACAGCGUCCAGACUCCUGCGGGAGGCCGCAGUAGGGAAUCUUACGCAAUGGGGGAGAGCCUGACGGAGCAACGCGGCGUGAGUGCUGAAGGUGCUCGGAUCGUAAAACUCUGUUGUGAGUGGAGAACAAAUGUGUAAUUAGCAGUGCAGAUCUUGACGGUACCUGAUCAAGAAGCCCCGGCUAACUACGUG
rnacentral:rRNA from 1 species